AUAUUAACUAAUGGGGCCAGCAGAGAUGUUUAUGUAUAUGUUUCUUUAUGUUGGAUUGGAUAGAAGUUGUAUUGUACAUUGAUAUUAUACCUGUUUAGUUAUUUAUAUUUAGCCGGCGUUUGGUUAGAGGAUCGGGAUGGAGAUGGGGAUCGGGAUGGAGAUGGAGAUGUUUAUGUAUAUGUUUCUUUGUUUUUUUUGUG
rnacentral:lncRNA from 1 species